rfam:Triticum aestivum genome assembly, contig: Triticum_aestivum_CS42_TGACv1_scaffold_019042_1AS
AUUCUACUCCCUCCGUUGCACAAUACAUGCCUUCUAUUUGUCAAAAUAUAUAUGUAUCUAGACAUGUCUUAGUAUAUAGGUACAUCCAGUUUUGGACAAAUGGAAGUCAAGUAUUUUGGAACUUAGGGAGUACACA